GGGUGAUUUAGCAAGUGAUAAAUUUAGAGUGCUGACAGACAUAGCAGGUCUAAAUCUGAAGCGAAAUGACAUGUAAACACUGUAUUAUGGUUGUGCGGAUAACAUGCAUUGACGUGUAUAUAUGUAAUUUUAUGGUUGAUGUUUGAUUUCAUGUUUACAAUUCUAUAAUAUAUAUAUGUGGUGCAUGUAUGAUGUGUGUGUGUACAUAUAUAUAUGAUGUUUAGCACUGUGUUUGGU
rnacentral:lncRNA from 1 species